rnacentral:rRNA from 1 species
CAGUAGCCACGGGAAUACAGAGGGUGCAAGCGUUAAUCGGAAUUACUGGGCGUAAAGCGCGCGUAGGUGGUUUGUUAAGUUGAAUGUGAAAUCCCCGGGCUCAACCUGGGAACUGCAUCCAAAACUGGCAAGCUAGAGUAGGGCAGAGGGUGGUGGAAUUUCCUGUGUAGCGGUGAAAUGCGUAGAUAUAGGAAGGAACACCAGUGGCGAAGGCGACCACCUGGGCUCAUACUGACACUGAGGUGCGAAAGCGUGGGGAGCAAACAGGAUUAGAUACCCCUGUAGUCCCUGUCUCUUAUAC